UACGUAGGGACCGAGCGUUGUCCGGAUUCAUUGGGCGUAAAGAGCUCGUAGGCGGCUGUUCAAGUCGAACGUGAAAACUCGGAGCUCAACUCCGAGCCUGCGUUCGAUACUGGACGGCUAGAGUCUGGUAGGGGGAUCUGGAAUUCCUGGUGUAGCGGUGGAAUGCGCAGAUAUCAGGAGGAACACCGGUGGCGAAGGCAGCUCUCUGGGACGGUACUGACGCUGAGACGCGAAAGCGUGGGGAGCGAACAGG
rnacentral:rRNA from 1 species